rnacentral:rRNA from 1 species
UCUGGGUUGCAUGNCCGCACNCCGUGGUAAGUACUUUUCAUCCAUCGCGGAUGGGNCAACUGCCUGGUGUCGUGGUUGUGCGAUCUUUCUGCCGUAUCUGUUAAUUCAGGUGCUGGUUGANUUUCAGCUAGCAUGCUCUCUGAUGCCNUUAAUUGGGUGUCUGGGGCAGACGGCACGUUUACUUUGAACAAAUUUGAGUGCUCAAAGCAGGCCGUAGUGCCUGAAAAGUCUUGCAUGGAAUAAUGGAAUAGGACUUCGGUUCUAUUUUGUUGGAAUUCGNAUCCGGCCUAAU